GUCGGAGUGGUGGAACCGGUAGACACGCGGCACUUAGGAUGCCGUGCCUCAGGGCGUGGGGGUUCGAGUCCCCCCUCCGACA
rnacentral:tRNA from 1 species